UACGGAGGGGGCCAGCGUUGCUCGGAAUCACUGGGCGUAAAGGGUCCGCAGGUGGUACUGUAAGUCUGCUGUUAAAGGGUCUGGCUUAACCAGAUAAAAGCAGUGGAAACUACAGAACUAGAGUGCGUUCGGGGCAGAAGGAAUUCCUGGUGUAGCGGUGAAAUGCGUAGAUAUCAGGAAGAACACCGGUGGCGAAAGCGUUCUGCUAGGUCGCAACUGACACUGAGGGACGAAAGCUAGGGGAGCGAAC
rnacentral:rRNA from 1 species